rnacentral:rRNA from 1 species
CCUACGGGGGGCAGCAGUGAGGAAUAUUGGUCAAUGGACGAGAGUCUGAACCAGCCAAGUAGCGUGAAGGAUGACUGCCCUAUGGGUUGUAAACUUCUUUUAUAUGCGAAUAAAAUGUUCCACGUGUGGGAUUUUGUAUGUACCAUAUGAAUAAGGAUCGGCUAACUCCGUGCCAGCAGCCGCGGUAAUACGGAGGAUCCGAGCGUUAUCCGGAUUUAUUGGGUUUAAAGGGAGCGUAGGUGGAUUGUUAAGUCAGUUGUGAAAGUUUGCGGCUCAACCGUAAAAUUGCAGUUGAAACUGGCAGUCUUGAGUACAGUAGAGGUGGGCGGAAUUCGUGGUGUAGCGGUGAAAUGCUUAGAUAUCACGAAGAACUCCGAUUGCGAAGGCAGUUCACUGGACUGCAACUGACACUGAGGCUCGAAAGUGUGGGUAUCAAACAGGAUUAGAUACCCCUGUAGUC